rnacentral:rRNA from 1 species
AACGAACGCUGGCGGCAUGCCUAACACAUGCAAGUCGAACGAGACCUUCGGGUCUAGUGGCGCACGGGUGCGUAACGCGUGGGAACCUGCCCUUAGGUUCGGAAUAACUCCCCGAAAGGGGUGCUAAUACCGGAUAAUGUCUUCGGACCAAAGAUUUAUCGCCUUUGGAUGGGCCCGCGUUGGAUUAGCUAGUUGGUAGGGUAAAAGCCUACCAAGGCGACGAUCUAUAGCUGGUCUGAGAGGAUGAUCAGCCACACUGGGACUGAGACACGGCCCAGACUCCUACGGGAGGCAGCAGUGGGGAAUAUUGGACAAUGGGCGAAAGCCUGAUCCAGCAAUGCCGCGUGAGUGAUGAAGGCCUUAGGGAUGUAAAGCUCUUUUACCCGGGAUGAUAAUGACAGUACCGGGAGAAUAAGCUCCGGCUAACUCCGUG